rfam:Lasallia pustulata genome assembly, contig: scaffold1179_size14819
AAGAGUAUAGUUUAAAAGGCAAAAUAAGAAGCUUCAAACUUCCUGUUUUCAGUUCAAAUCUGAGUGCUCUUG